rnacentral:rRNA from 1 species
AGUGAACGCUGGCGGUAGGCCUAACACAUGCAAGUCGAACGGCAGCACAGUAAGAGCUUGCUCUUACGGGUGGCGAGUGGCGGACGGGUGAGGAAUACAUCGGAAUCUACUUUUUCGUGGGGGAUAACGUAGGGAAACUUACGCUAAUACCGCAUACGACCUACGGGUGAAAGCAGGGGAUCUUCGGACCUUGCGCGAUUGAAUGAGCCGAUGUCGGAUUAGCUAGUUGGCGGGGUAAAGGCCCACCGAGGCGACUAUCCGUUGCUGGUCUGAGAGCAUGAACAGCCACACUGGGGCUGAGAGACGGUCUAGAGUCCGACGGGAGGCAGCGAUGGGGAAUAUUGGACGAUGGGGGCAAGCCUGAUCCAGGCAUGCAGCGUUGAUGAAGAAGGCCUUCGGGUUGGAAAGCCCUUUUGUUGGGAAAGAAAAGCAGCAGGUUAAUACCCCGCUGGUCUGACGGUACCCAAAGAAUAAGCACCGGCUAACUUCGUG